CAUUAUUGAAUAAACCUGAUGUGGCUGUUAGCUGGCUUUUCGAAGCAUGUGCUCGUCCAUCAUCUUUAUCUCCACCUGUGCACAUUUUGUAGUCUUGGAUACCUCUCGAGGCAACUCGGAUUUUAGGAUCGCUGUGCUGUACAAGUCGGCUUUCCUUUCAUUUCCAAGACUACGUUUUUAUACACACUAAAGUAUGUUUAAAGAAUGUCAUCAAUGGGAACUUGUUUCCUAUAAAAUUAUACAACUUUCAGCAACGGAUCUCUUGGCUCUCGCAUCGAUGAAGAACGCAGCGAAAUGCGAUAAGUAAUGUGAAUUGCAGAAUUCAGUGAAUCAUCGAAUCUUUGAACGCACCUUGCGCUCCUUGGUAUUCCGAGGAGCAUGCCUGUUUGAGUGUCAUUAAAUUCUCAACCUUCCAGCUUUUAUUAGCUUGGAUAGGCUUGGAUGUGGGGGUUGCGGGCUUCAUCAAUGAGGUUGGCUCUCCUUAAAAGCAUUAGCGGAACUUUUGUGGACCGUCUAUUGGUGUGAUAAUUAUCUACGCCGUGGAUGUGAAGCAACUUUAUAAAGUUCAGCUUCUAACUGUCCAUUAACUUGGACAAUUUUGACAAUUUGGCCU
rnacentral:rRNA from 1 species